CCUACGGGGGGCAGCAGUGGGGAAUAUUGGGCAAUGGGCGCAAGCCUGACCCAGCAACGCCGCGUGAAGGAAGAAGGCCCUCGGGUUGUAAACUUCUUUUGUCAGGGACGAAUAAAGUGACGGUACCUUACGAAUAAGCCACGGCUAACUAGGGGCCAGCAGCCGCGGUAAUCAGGAGGUGGCAAGCGUUAUCCGGAUUUACUGGGUGUAAAGGGAGUGUAGGCGGGACUGAAAGUCAGAUGUGAAAGUCCAGGGCUCAACCCUGGAACUGCAUUUGAAACUGUAGUUCUGGAGUGAUGGAGAGGCAGGCGGAAUUCCGGGUGUAGCGGUGAAAUGCGUAGAUAUAAGGAGGAACACCAGUGGCGAAGGCGGCCUGCUGGACAUUAACUGACGCUGAGGCGCGAAAGCGUGGGGAGCAAACAGGAUUAGAUACCCCUGUAGUC
rnacentral:rRNA from 1 species